rnacentral:rRNA from 1 species
AGUGAACGCUGGCGGUAGGCCUAACACAUGCAAGUCGAACGGCAGCACAGUAAGAGCUUGCUCUUACGGGUGGCGAGUGGCGGACGGGUGAGGAAUACAUCGGAAUCUACUUUUUCGUGGGGGAUAACGUAGGGAAACUUACGCUAAUACCGCAUACGACCUACGGGUGAAAGCAGGGGAUCUUCGGACCUUGCGCGAUUGAAUGAGCCGAUGUCGGAUUAGCUAGUUGGCGGGGUAAAGGCCCACCAAGGCGACGAUCCGUAGCUGGUCUGAGAGGAUGAUCAGCGACACUGGAACUGAGAGACGGUCCAGACUCCUACGGGAGGCAGCAGUGGGGAAUAUUGGACAAUGGGCGCAAGCCUGAUCCAGCCAUACCGCGUGGGUGAAGAAGGCCUGCGGGUUGUAAAGCCCUCUUGUUGGGAAAGAAAAGCAGCAGGUUAAUACCCCGCUGUUCGGACGGUACCCAAAGAAUAAGCACCGGCUAACUUCGU